rnacentral:sRNA from 1 species
UCCGGCAACUGGGCUGGACCGAAACCGGCGCGGAGCAACUGAGGCCUGAGCCUUCCCGGGACCUGGGGGACGCCUAACCCCGCGAGGAUUGGGAGAACACUUGUGUUCCAGAUCACAGAUGGUGGGGAAAGCUGACACAAGAAUUUGGCAAUGCAGCCACUUCUCUGACAGCAAACCCAGAUGCCACCACAGUAAACAUUGAGGAUCCUGGUGAAACCCCAAAACAUCAGCCAGGAUCCCCAAGAGGCUCAGGAAGAGAAGAAGAUGAUGAGUUACUGGGAAAUGAUGACUCUGACAAAACUGAGUUACUUGCUGGACAGAAGAAAAGCUCCCCCUUCUGGACAUUUGAAUACUACCAAACAUUCUUUGACGUGGACACCUACCAGGUCUUUGACAGAAUUAAAGGAUCUCUUUUGCCAAUACCCGGGAAAAAUUUUGUGAGGUUAUAUAUCCGCAGCAAUCCCGAUCUCUAUGGCCCCUUUUGGAUAUGUGCCACGUUGGUCUUUGCCAUAGCAAUUAGUGGGAAUCUUUCCAACUUCUUGAUCCAUCUGGGAGAGAAGACGUACCGUUAUGUGCCCGAAUUCCGAAAAGUGUCCAUAGCAGCUACCAUCAUCUAUGCCUAUGCCUGGCUGGUUCCUCUUGCACUCUGGGGUUUCCUCAUGUGGAGAAACAGCAAAGUUAUGAACAUCGUCUCCUAUUCAUUUCUGGAGAUUGUGUGUGUCUAUGGAUAUUCCCUCUUCAUUUAUAUCCCUACCGCAAUACUGUGGAUUAUCCCCCAGAAAGCUGUUCGUUGGAUUCUAGUCAUGAUUGCCCUGGGCAUCUCAGGAUCUGUCUUGGCAAUGACAUUUUGGCCAGCUGUUCGUGAGGAUAACCGACGCGUUGCGUUGGCCACAAUUGUGACAAUUGUGUUGCUUCAUAUGCUGCUUUCUGUGGGCUGCUU